CAGCCGCCGCGGUAAUACGAAGGGUGCAAGCGUUACUCGGAAUUACUGGGCGUAAAGCGUGCGUAAGCGGUGAGUUAAGUCUGCUGUGAAAUCCCCGGGCUCAACCUGGGAAUGGCAGUGGAUACUGGCUCGCUAGAGUGUGGUAGAGGAUAGUGGAAUUUCCGGUGUAGCAGUGAAAUGCGUAGAGAUCGGAAGGAACAUCUGUGGCGAAGGCGACUAUCUGGGCCAACACUGACACUGAGGCACGAAAGCGUGGGGAGCAAACAGGAUUAGAUACCCCUGUAGUCCCUGUCUCUUAUAC
rnacentral:rRNA from 1 species